rnacentral:tRNA from 1 species
UUGACGUGUAGUUUAGUAGGGACAGAACGACUUCGUUAUCAGAAGUAGGGGCAGGAUCGAGACCUGUCACGUCAAU